GACGAACCGUGCGAACGUUGUUCGGAAUCACUGGGCUUAAAGGGCGCGUAGGCGGCUUGGCAAGUCGGGGGUGAAAUCUUUCGGCCUAACCGGAAAAGUGCCUCCGAUACUGCGAAGCUCGAGGGGGAUAGGGGCGGACGGAACUUCCGGUGGAGCGGUGGAAUGCGUAGAGAUCCGGAAGAACACCGGUGGCGAAGGCGGCCUGCUGGGCAGUUUAGCUGACACUGAGGCGCGACAGCGUGGGGAGCAAACAGG
rnacentral:rRNA from 1 species